UUGCAAGCAUCAUAGAGUUACUUCAGUCCCCUCGUGACAAAAGCAAAGGCGCAGCUAGUGAAAGCGAGAGAACUGUAACUCAAMACUGUUACUGGAAAAUAUUAAUAUUUUACACCCUGAGUGUACAACAUGAAUCCGAAGUUGCUCCUUCUUGGCGCGUUGUUGUUUUUUUCCCUGCAGCCUCAAGAUGCU